UCCAUUUUCAGAUCAUCUGAAUCAUCAGAGGGAACAAGAAUUGUUUCUAAAACCUGUACGGCCCCACACGAAAUAUAUGUUGAUCGUUUGCUAAUGUGUCCGCUGAAUUGCCAAAGCUGGACCGAGUGGAUUAUGGGUGUUGAUCGCGCAUUUGGACGCUGUAUCAAUCCGUGUCAUUGCGAGAAGGGAUACAUCCGUAGGGAGAGCGAAGGCCCUUGUAUUCCGAUCAUGGAGUGCGCCUCUGUUCGCAACGCAGUUGGUCUUUUGAGAGAAAUGAUUCAUGGCAUGUAUACCGGUAAAAUAAAAUAUCUUGAUUAAUAAAGGAUAGAGUUUUUAGUUUCAAACUUCAUGCAAACUGAAGAAGAAA